GACGAACGCUGGCGGCGUGCUUAACGCAUGCAAGUCGAACGGAAAGGCCCUUCGGGGUACUCGAGUGGCGAACGGGUGAGUAACACGUGGGUGAUCUGCCCUGCCCUUUGGGAUAAGCCUGGGAAACUGGGACUAAUACCGAAUAGGACCACGCGCUUCAUGGUGUGUGGUGGAAAGCUUUGGCGGUGUGGGAUGGGCCCGCGGCCUAUCAGCUUGUUGGUGGGGUAAUGGCCUACCAAGGCGACGACGGGUAGCCGGCCUGAGAGGGUGACCGGCCACACUGGGACUGAGAUACGGCCCAGACUCCUACGGGAGGCAGCAGUGGGGAAUAUUGCACAAUGGGCGCAAGCCUGAUGCAGCGACGCCGCGUGAGGGAUGACGGCCUUCGGGUUGUAAACCUCUUUCAAUAGUGACGAAGCGCAAGUGACGGUACCUAUAGAAGAAGCACCGGCCAACUACGUG
rnacentral:rRNA from 1 species